UACGUAGGGGGCGAGCGUUGUCCGGAUUUAUUGGGCGUAAAGAGCGUGUAGGCGGCCGAGCAGGUCCGUUGUGAAAACUGGAGGCUCAACCUUCAGAGGUCGAUGGAAACCGUUCGGCUAGAGUCCGGAAGAGGAGAGUGGAAUUCCUGGUGUAGCGGUGAAAUGCGCAGAUAUCAGGAAGAACACCCGUGGCGAAAGCGGCUCUCUGGGACGGUACUGACGCUGAGACGCGAAAGCGUGGGGAGCGAACAGG
rnacentral:rRNA from 1 species